CCUGCCCCUAGAGGCAUGGUAGGUGUAACUACUGUUGUCACAUGUAUGUCAGUGGGUAGCAGAGAGGAGAGAGGCUAUGUCUAUUCUCAGUGUUCUGACAUAUAAACAUCUGAAUGAUUAGCAGCUCAAUAUU